CAGCAGCCGCGGGAAUACGUAGGGUGCAAGCGUUAAUCGGAAUUACUGGGCGUAAAGCGUGCGCAGGCGGUUGUGUAAGACAGGUGUGAAAUCCCCGGGCUUAACCUGGGAAUGGCAGUGGAUACUGGCUCGCUAGAGUGUGUCAGAGGAUGGUGGAAUUCCCGGUGUAGCGGUGAAAUGCGUAGAGAUCGGGAGGAACAUCAGUGGCGAAGGCGGCCAUCUGGGACAACACUGACGCUGAGGCACGAAAGCGUGGGGAGCAAACAGGAUUAGAUACCCGCGUAGUCCCUGUCUCUUAUAA
rnacentral:rRNA from 1 species